UUCAUGUGCUUUUGCGAAUACAUC
rnacentral:siRNA from 1 species